AAAAAAAAAAAAAAAAACUAUAGCUCAGGCUGCAAAAUCCCUUAUUUCAAUAUUUUAAAGCAUUGAAUACCCUUUACCCCUUGAAAUUCUUAUUGUACUUCUUUGCAAUUUCAUUUUUUGCUACUUUUUUCUUGUGCUAUCUGUAGCAGCUUCAUAGAAGGUGCAUUUUGCCUUUGAUUUUCAGUAGGCUUAUUUUUUGAAAUAUGUAUCUUUUCAUUUUCUUAUGAUGAAAAAUUUGAGUAGGAAUGAUGAAUCAUGUGAUUUGACACAAUUUGGGGAAUAACAAAAGAGAAACCUUGCCAAUGAACUUUAUGAUUUGCAUGUUGCAUUCCCCGCAGUUUGAGUAUUUACUCGUUAUUCUUUAACCAAUAAAAGGUGAUAGACUGCUAAAAUUUCAGGUAGUAAGUAAGGGGGAGCUCUUUUAGGACCAAUAUACAUACACAUCCUUCAGAUAAAGUAACUCAUCUAAUUGAAUGUUGUAACCGGUAACUUUGGCUUGUAGUCUUUGAAUUUCAGCCCCUACUAAUGCUAUCCAUCAAGUUUAAGUUGCUAGGACUGUUUGUUUUGAUGGUUGAUUCCAAACUGAUGUGACACAUCUUAAUACUUUUUGGUGGGUAGCUAUCAAGCAAUUGCUGGGUUCUAGGGUUUAGAUUUAAGGAAGGAGGGGAAUUUAAGGUUAGGAAAUUGAAUUAUGACUGAUUAGAGCGGGAAAAGCGAAGAAAAUAAAUUAGAGACUAUUUGUUGGCUGUCAACCCCACCUGAGUUGCUGUAGCUACAGCUUUGGAAGAAAGGAAGAAGAAGAGGAGGAGAAAUGGUAUGCACCCAGUUUUUACAAAUCAAAUACUCAUUCAUUUAUCAUUAAUGUCUAAGAAAAUAGUUAGUUAUACAGGUAUUUGAAGAAAAUAACUAAUCCUACUCCUACUCCUACCAGGAUUAGUGAUCCCAAAUUAGAAAUAUUCUAAACCAAUACUAAAAAAGCAGCAAACAGGUUUCUGAAAUUUUGAAAAUAAAAAUUCCUAAAUAUUGCUAAACCAUAAAUUUCCUAAAUAGAACAUUUUACAUGAAAUACCGAACUACAAAAUAAACAAUUAAAUCAAAAUAAAUACAUCUAGUUUAAUUGAGCUUAUCACUUGGUGUUAAUGGAUCAUGCUUAUUAAUAUUUCCAUUAAUGCUUUUUUUGAGCAUGCUAUGAUUAGGAAUACUUACUUCUCCCGAAUUGACAACAUUUGCUUUUAAGAUCAUCAGUAACUUGAACAAACAAAAAGACAGCCUAUGAUGAGGAAAUUCUUUUGGCAGGAUAAUGAAAAUUUUGUUGAAG
rnacentral:misc_RNA from 1 species